CCUUCACUGUCACUGUACUCACUGUGGCCAGAUCCCCUUCUUCCAGUUGUCCUGGACCCUGUCUGUGUGGAUUGUCCAUGAGUGCCCUUCACUGUCACUGUACUCACUGUGGCCAGAUCCCCUUCUUCCAGUUGUCCUGGACCCUGUCUGUGUGGAUUGUCCAUG
rnacentral:lncRNA from 1 species